rnacentral:lncRNA from 1 species
UAUGAUGAUCAGUUUUUUAUUCUUCUUUUAAAAAUUUAUUCAUUUUUUAAUUGGAGGAUAAUUGCUUUACAAGAUGCUGUUGGUUUCUGCCACACAUCAACACGAAUCGGCCAUGGGUAUACAUAUGUCCUUUCCCUCUUGAACGUCCCUCUCACUUUCCAAUCCAUUCCGCCCAUCCGUUUUGUCACAGAGUACCAGAUCUUCUUGGGACAAGAGCUUACAGAUAGAAAGGUUUGCAUUCGCACCCAGCCCUACCGCUGUGACAUCCUCAGGCCCUGUUCCUCAUCCCUCCCCCUCAGUGACCUUGUCUGGAAACUGAGAAGAAGAAUAUGCACAUUAAAGGCUUUGCUGUUUUUCUUUCACCCAGUUUCUUGGUUGUUAUUGGCCCCAAAGCAUCAAUAGAGAAAAUAACUGAGGGAGGGAGAAGGAGAUAAAAUUCAAACCAGGAUGUGUUCCCACUUGUUCACAGCCCUUGUCAGCAAUUUAGGGGUCGCAAGGAUUCAGGUUGCUAAUUUUCAAAAGUCACAGGGAAAAGAUAUCAACCAACCGGACUUCAGUUAUUGACAUUUUACUCUUAUCCUUAUGCAUAACUGAAAUCUGAGUAAAUGUAUGUUGCAUUUUCCAAACACCCCUUGCCCUGUAGAUAAAUGCAUACAUACACACACACACGAAGAUUUCAAGAACGCUGGCCCUGGGGGAAUCACUUGUCCCAAGUCCCUGGAAUGGAGAAGUCACACAAUUCUUGGUAUUUGCCAUUUGGAUAAAUUGACUAGUAAUGAAUGACUUGAAGAAACAGUUCCUUUUAAAUGGCACUGAAUUUCAAAAAAGCAGAUUCUGCUCAGACUCUUCCAUCCUGCAAUUUCAUUUCUGCUCUUAUGCACACUAACCUAAAUUGGCUGGAUACAACUCUUGCUGAAUUAAAUUUGAUUUGAUGAGAACAUUUGCGUGUCGGUGCAGGCAGAGUGCAGUAUGUGUGGGUUUUUAAAAUGUUAUUUUAAAUGUUCUUUGGCGAAUGAUUCAGCUUUGCCAUAGCUUCAGGAGUGAACUAAAUUUUUGGUCCUGUGGAUACACCUUGUGAAUGAACUAGAUCGUGGCCCUUUGCUGGGAAAUCACUGAAGAAGCAGUUUGUUUUUUUCCUGAAGAGAAUCCACACAGCCUCAGAGGCAAGAACACUGGGCGCAGCGCACCCCCUGGACCACUCUGAGAUGGGCUGCACCCACAGGCACGGAGCCCAGGGAUAAGGAGGCCGACUGCACUACACCAUCGUGUUGACUUGAGGGCACUGGGCAUCCGUGGAUUUGGGUGUACCGGGGGACCGGNNNNNNNNNNNNNNNNNNNNNNNNNNNNNNNNNNNNNNNNNNNNNNNNNNNNNNNNNNNNNNNGACACUGUUUAAAACCCCCUCCUGGCUUUUUUCGGUUGAGCUUCCUCAUCAAGCUCUAACAAGCAGGCCUGGCCACUGGGUCAUAUCUGCCUGGGCCCAGGACACCAGCAAGCGUUUC